GUGUGUGUGUCUGUGGCUGCUAACAAGGUAUGUUUGUACUGUAGCGUGCACCGCAUUAUUUAUGGUGUAGUUAACAAUACUAAUAGUGUUUGUCUUGAUUAGGUGCUACUGUAGCUAGCUUAUUAGGGCCGUUGCUGCUUUGUCUCUCCUGCUUUUGUCUUCACGUUGUAUGCGUGACGGGUGCCUGGGGGGCCUGCUUUUUGACGGGGGUUUGGUUCCUUUUACGUCUUAUUACUUUUGGGUUAUUUGUACUAAUUUAUUUGUACAUUUUUGUUUGGAUUUUGUUUUCUUUAAGCCUUUAUUGUUUACAUUUGUUUGAGUUCUAAUUGGGCAGUUAUUGGUUGAUAUAUUUUGUGACCUGCCCAUCAGUUAUAAGUUUUGUUAUAUUUUCAUUCAUUGAUUUUUUUUGUUUGUUUUUCCCCAUUGGUUUGUUUUGUUGCAACCCCCCUACCUUUUUUAAUUUCCCCCUUUUCAGUUGCUGGAGGCCGGUGGUGGCGGUGCUGUCUGUUGUGUCGCUGUUUGGCUGUUUCAUAGGGAGGAGGUUGAGAAGAUACUGACUGAAUAUGCAAUUUUGGGUGAGCUGUGCUUUUCAGGAGUUCUGGGGAGAUCAGUGAGGACCUUCCAGCAGCUUCCCGUGAAGAGCAGCAGGCACACUGUGAACCAACGGCUGAUCAGACUGAUAAAUAUACAGUGCACACAGUGUAAACCUACAUGUAUGCACACUUACAAAGCAGCAGCGUGUCUGGAUGAUGGGCAUGGACGUAGAGGUGGGAACCACGGCAUUCGGCUUACUCCAGGCCAUCUGUGAAUUAGCAGCAGUUUUAGGAAUAAGCAGCUUUACGUCGUUUGUUGGUAUCACCAAGGCUGCGCCCAUCUUCUUGGACUCGGGUGAGCUGGCAGCAGGCAGUUUUCUGGCCCUCAAACUACCAGAGACGCAGGGUCAGGUGCUGCGAUAGUGUGGCACCAACUAUUUUCUUGGGUACAGCAGAGUUUUCUCCACAUUGUGAAUAAACAGCUCAAGAGUUCUCCAAA